CCAUAAUUUUUAUUUCAAGAAACUUAUAUUUUGAGUUCUAUCCAUCCAUAACCGAUGAUAUACACUCACUUCACUGUGUUGCAUUAUCCUGAAGUUAGAAAUUCUAGCAAUUGAAUUUGAGUUAGAAAUUCAGGAAAAGAAGAACCAGAGAAAGGAGUAUGUCCUUAUUACAGAAGGGCCUGUGUUGUGUCUUUCACAUCCGUAACCACAAUGUAAGUUCUCUCAACCUCUCAUCAGCGGUGGUAUGCACCGCCACCAAUUUCCAUGCCCCAAAUCCCCCAUCCAAAACAAACCUUCAAUCAAUGACACGUGGCAAAGCAAGGAGGAUCUUGAAACCUCUACCGGCGGCUCUUCCCGUUCCACCGCCGCUUGACCUCACCGAAGACAACGUGAGACAGGCUUUGGAGGACGCUCGACAGGAGCUGGGUCAAAUCUUUGACACCUCUGUUGGUAUGACAGGAGUGGUUGAACUAGCUGACUUGGAUGGACCUUUUGUGAAGCUUAGCCUUAGGGGUCGCUUUUGGCACAAGCGUUCCACGGUCGUUGCCAGAAUCGCCAAUUAUCUCAAACAGAGGAUUCCUGAGAUUUUGGAGGUUGAUAUAGAAGACGAGAAACAAUUGGAUGAUAGUCCUGAGAAUUUUUAAGGCUCGUUCAUUGACUGAUUAAGGUACUUCUAGGUGUCACUAUGUUCGCAGAACUACAAGGCUUUUGUUUUGGUGGCCUAUAAUUGUUCGAUUAACUUAGUUUUGGUUUCUUGGGAUAUGCCAAUGCCUUUCCCUCUAUGUUUGACUAAAUUAGACAUGAUGAAAUCUCAAAGUGAGAGACUUGGAGCCACUCAACUUCACUAGCAACAAGGAAAUGCUUUACACUCGGUGUCUAUUGAUGAUCUUGAAACAGUAGAGCUUCACCGAAGAUCACACAAAAACUAGUACUACAUUGCCUAGUGUCAGUAAAACUCUGCUGGAAUAUACCCUAAAAGCUACCAUUAAAGCCUUUGCCAUGAGCUAUCUUUAUAUAUUACAGUAAAUGAUGCAUUAUUGCUUGUAUAUGGCGAGUCCUGCUAGGUGAAGCAAUGUAUUAGCUUAAUUUGUGUACGUUUUAAGAAUAUCUGGUCAAGAGACAGUGAAGUAAGUACACUCUUUGAGCAAUUAGCCUUCUAUGCAGAAAAUACUCAUGCAAUAUCUUGUCGUUUAUGGCUAACAACUUCAAACGAAGAUCCAUAGGUUGUUGGUGUUUUUGGGCCAAGGAACCAGCAUCUUUCAAUAAGGACCAAACAUACUUUCUUUGAUGUAGUAACUCCUUUUUGAGGAUCUUGUCAUUUCUGAGGCCAAGAAAUAUUUGAGAGCACCCAGGACUUGGAGUUUGAACAAUUUAUGUAUAUAUUCUUGAAUCUGAGAUACAACUAUGAGAUUUGGUUAAAGUACUAUUAUGUCAUCUAAACUAAACUAACAUGAUAUAACAAGAGAAGUGCCAAGCCUUUUGUUGAAUAAAGAGUAGUCAUUCUUAGGUUGAAUGAAGGUAGGAGCAACCAAGGUAGUUGAGAUGAAGCUCGGACACACUUCUUUAUGGCGCGUUCCUAUGUUCGAUGCAUUUGACAC